rnacentral:rRNA from 1 species
AUUGAACGCUGGCGGCAGGCCUAACACAUGCAAGUCGAACGCGUGGCGGACGGGUGCGUAAUGUCUGGGAAACUGCCUGAUGGAGGGGGAUAACUACUGGAAACGGUAGCUAUUACCGCAUACCAUCAGAUGUGCCCAGAUGGGAUUAGCUUGUGGGUGGGGUAACGGCUCACCAAGGCGACGUUCCCUAGCUGGUCUGCGAGGAUGACCAGCAACACUGGAACUGGGAAACGGUCCAGACGCCUACGAGAGGCAGCAGUUGGGAAGAUUGCGCAAUGGGCGCAAGCCUGAUGCAGCCAUGCCUCGUGUAUGAAGAAGGCCUUCGGGUUGUAAAGUACUUUCAGCGGGGAGGCGUUACCCGCAGAAGAAGCACCGGCUAACGCCGUGCCAGCCGCCGCGGUAAUAC